rnacentral:misc_RNA from 1 species
UUAAGUUCAGCGGGUAUUCCUACCUGAUCCGAGGUCAACAUUCAGAAUAUUAAUCAGAGAUUAAUGAUUAGACAGCGCGUUCCACCAACACCACGACAGAUGUGCGUUUUGUGGCUAAACGAACCGUCACUGAUUUUAAGGCAUGCCUAGAGGCAAGGCCCAACACCAAAUACUAAUGGCCGAGACCAAGAUUUUUAUUU